rnacentral:rRNA from 1 species
UUCGCAAUGCCCGAAAGGGAGCCAGAACACAGGUGCUGCAUGGCUGUCGUCAGCUCGUGUCGUGAGAUGUUGCGUUAAGUCGCGCAACGAGCGCAACCCCUGUCCUUAGUUGCCAUCAGGUAAAGCUGGGCACUCUAGGGAGACCGCCGGCGUUAAGCCGGAGGAAGGCGGGGACGACGUCAAGUCAUCAUGGCCCCUAUGCCCAGGGCUGCACACGUGCUACAAUGGGACGGACAAAGCGUUGCCAGGCCGCAAGGCCGCGCUAAUCGCAAAAAUCGUCCCUCAGUUCGGAUUGUGGGCUGCAACCCGCCCACAUGAAGCUGGAAUCGCUAGUAAUCGCCGAUCAGCAACGCGGCGAUGAAUGUGUUCCUGAGCCUUGUACACACCGCCCGUCAAGCCACCAAAGGGGGGGGUACCCGAAGUCGCCGGUGCCGCAAGGCAGGCGCCGAAGGUAAAACUCCUGAUGGGCACUAAGUAGAGGGGUUUU